AUACGUAGGGGGCGAGCGUUGUCCGGAAUUAUUGGGCGUAAAGGGUUCGCAGGCGGUCUGAUAAGUCAGAUGUGAAAGGCAAUGGCUCAACCAUUGUAAGCAUUUGAAACUGUCAGACUUGAGUUAAGGAGAGGAAAGUGGAAUUCCUAGUGUAGCGGUGAAAUGCGUAGAUAUUAGGAGGAAUACCAGUGGCGAAGGCGAUUUUCUGGACUUAUACUGACGCUGAGGAACGAAAGCGUGGGGAGCAAACAGGAUUAGAUCCCCUGGUAGUCCACGCCGUAAACGAUGAGUGCUAGGUGUUGGGGGUCAAACCUCGGUGCCGCAGCUAACGCAUUAAGCACUCCGCCUGGGGAGUACGUACGCAAGUAUGAAACUCAAAUGAAUUGGCGGGG
rnacentral:rRNA from 1 species